rnacentral:rRNA from 1 species
UGGGGAAUUUUGGACAAUGGGGGAAACCCUGAUCCAGCCAUUCCGUGUGAGUGAAGAAGGCCUUCGGGUUGUAAAGCUCUUUCGGCAGGGAAGAAACGGUCCUGGAUAAUACCUUGGGCUAAUGACGGUACCUGAAGAAGAAGCACCGGCUAACUAAGUGCCAGCAGCCGCGGUAAUACGUAGGGUGCGAGCGUUAAUCGGAAUUACUGGGCGUAAAGCGUACGCAGGCGGUUUUGUAAGACAGGUGUGAAAUCCCCGGGCUUAACCUGGGAACUGCGCUUGUGACCGCAAGACUCGAGUACGGCAGAGGGGGGUAGAAUUCCACGUGUAGCAGUGAAAUGCGUAGAGAUGUGGAGGAAUACCGAUGGCGAAGGCAGCCCCCUGGGUCGAUACUGACGCUCAUGCACGAAAGCGUGGGGAGCAAA